rnacentral:siRNA from 1 species
ACAAGGCGAUCAAAUGGAUAUG